CGGUUAAGUUAGAAAGGGCGCACGGUGGAUGCCUUGGCACUAGGAGCCGAUGAAGGACGGGACGAACACCGAUAUGCUUCGGGGAGCUGUAAGCAAGCUUUGAUCCGGAGAUUUCCGAAUGGGGAAACCCACUGCUCGUAAUGGAGCAGUAUCCAUAUCUGAAUUCAUAGGAUAUGAGAAGGCAGACCCGGGGAACUGAAACAUCUAAGUACCCGGAGGAAGAGAAAGCAAAUGCGAUUCCCUGAGUAGCGGCGAGCGAAACGGGAACAGCCCAAACCAAGAGGCUUGCCUCUUGGGGUUGUAGGACACUCUGUACGGAGUUACAAAAGAACGAGGUAGAUGAAGAGGUCUGGAAAGGCCCGCCAUAGGAGGUAACAGCCCUGUAGUCAAAACUUCGUUCUCUCCUGAGUGGAUCCUGAGUACGGCGGAACACGUGAAAUUCCGUCGGAAUCCGGGAGGACCAUCUCCCAAGGCUAAAUACUCCCUAGUGACCGAUAGUGAACCAGUACCGUGAGGGAAAGGUGAAAAGCACCCCGGAAGGGGAGUGAAAGAGAUCCUGAAACCGUGUGCCUACAAGUAGUCAGAGCCCGUUAACGGGUGAUGGCGUGCCUUUUGUAGAAUGAACCGGCGAGUUACGAUCCCGUGCAAGGUUAAGUUUGAAAAGACGGAGCCGCAGCGAAAGCGAGUCUGAAUAGGGCGC
rnacentral:rRNA from 1 species